rnacentral:rRNA from 1 species
UACGUAGGUGGCAAGCGUUUGUCCGGAUUUACUGGGCGUAAAGAGCGCGCAGGCGGUCAGAUAAGUCGAAUGUGAAAGCCCCCGGCUCAACUGGGGAGGGUCAUUCGAUACUGUUCGACUCGAAGGCAGGAGAGGGAAGCGGAAUUCCCGGUGUAGUGGUGAAAUGCGUAGAUAUCGGGAGGAACACCAGUGGCGAAGGCGGCUUCCUGGCCUGUUCUUGACGCUGAGGCGCGAAAGCUAGGGGAGCAAACGGGG